UACGGAGGGUGCGAGCGUUGUCCGGAAUCAUUGGGCGUAAAGAGCUCGUAGGCGGCUCAGUAGGUCGGGUGUGAAACCCCCAGGCUCAACCUGGGGACGCCACUCGAUACUGCUGUGGCUAGAGUCCAGUAGAGGAGUGUGGAAUUCCCGGUGUAGCGGUGAAAUGCGCAGAUAUCGGGAGGAACACCAACGGCGAAGGCAGCACUCUGGGCUGGAACUGACGCUGAGGAGCGAAAGCGUGGGUAGCAAACAGG
rnacentral:rRNA from 1 species